ACGACGACGAGGAAGAAGAAAAGGAUAAGAAAAAUGCGGGAGUGGUAUGACAGUAGUAGGAUGUUGGUAGAAUCCUCUUAAAUGGUCAAGUGACC